rnacentral:rRNA from 1 species
GACGAACGCUGGCGGCGUGCUUAACACAUGCAAGUCGAACGGAAAGGCCCUGCUUUUGUGGGGUGCUCGAGUGGCGAACGGGUGAGUAACACGUGAGUAACCUGCCCUUGACUUUGGGAUAACUUCAGGAAACUGGGGCUAAUACCGGAUAGGAGCUCCUGCUGCAUGGUGGGGGUUGGAAAGUUUCGGCGGUUGGGGAUGGUCUCGCGGCUUAUCAGCUUGUUGGUGGGGUAGUGGCUUACCAAGGCUUUGACGGGUAGCCGGCAUGAGAGGGGGACCGGCCACAAUGGGACUGCGGUACGGCCCAGAAUGCUACGGGAGGCAGCAGUGGGGAAUAUUGCACAAUGGGCGGGAGCCUGAUGCAGCAACGCCGCGUGCGUGAUGACGGCCUUCGAGUUGUAAACCGCUUUCGCCUGUGACGAAGCGUGAGUGACGGUAAUGGGUAAAGAAGCUCCGGCUAACUACGUG